GCUUGUGGUGGCCAAGAGUUCAUGGCAAUUUCACCUUCUGAUUUUUCAAUGUCAGCUCUCCCUACUCAAGCAUUGGAUUGUUCACCCACUAACAGAGAACACUGCUGGGCUCUGGACCAGCAGUGGACAGGUC
rnacentral:ncRNA from 1 species